rnacentral:sRNA from 2 species
UCUCUACCGCAUACAUUAUCGACCGACGCAUGCGACACGCAUUUUGGUCCCGUGGUGGAGUUGAACAAGUAUGAACUUCGUGUCGCACUCAUCUUGGCCGAGAACAGGUGGUUUCCCACACGGUCUCUGUUGGCCAUGAGCGGCAAGUUCAAUGGCAGUUCUCCAUUUAAUCACACAUCUGGCCCGGCAAUUCAUCACUACAUAUCCGAAGGGGACUUAGAUUCCGAGGCAGGAAGUUGUGGACUUAUGACCCUGCUAAUAGGGGCUUUCUCCUUUGUGGUCUAGUGGCAAAGUCCAGUUCUCCGGAAACAUCACACAAGCUCUGUUUUAGCACCUUCCAGUUUGGUUGGUGGAAAGUUCUCUUUCUGGUUAAGGAAAUGAUGGAGUACAAAAAGGGCCACCCUGUCCUGCUGCUAGCACAAGGGACCAAAACUCGAAAUGCACCAGGGAUGCAGGGUCCCUCAACCCGCUUGUCGAGCUGUCGAAGAUCUAAAGCAAGCAGGACUUGUCGAGGAAUGUACGCGAUUUUUUAGGGUUUUGAAUAUGCGAUGGAAAAUACAUCAACUCACCACACGCUUCUAGAUCCGAAUCUAUUCUCUGUAGGUGGCCCAUUCAGUGUUGACAGGGGUUGUUAAACGGGAAUUGGAACAUGGGGUUCAAACGACAUCGUGACGAGCGCUUCAUCCCACAGCUAACUUCAGUAGCCGCGAAAAAUAGUUUAAUAUCGCACAAGGGUCAAGCGUUGCGGCUUUCUCGUACACUUG